rnacentral:rRNA from 1 species
GACGAACGCUGGCGGCGUGCUUAACACAUGCAAGUCGAACGGAAAGGCCCUGCUUUUGUGGGGUGCUCGAGUGGCGAACGGGUGAGUAACACGUGAGUAACCUGCCCUUGACUUUGGGAUAACUUCAGGAAACUGGGGCUAAUACCGGAUAGGAGCUCCUGCUGCAUGGUGGGGGUUGGAAAGUUUCGGCGGUUGGGGAUGGACUCGCGGCUUAUCAGCUUGUUGGUGGGGUAUUGGCUUACCAAGGCUUUGACGGGUAGCCGGCCUGAGAGGGUGACCGGCAACAUUGGGACUGAGAUACGGCCCAGACUCCUACGGGAGGCAGCAGUGGGGAAUAUUGCACAAUGGGCGGAAGCGUGAUGCAGCAACGCCGCGUGCGGGAUGACGGCCUUCGGGUUGUAAACCGCUUUCGCCUGUGACGAAGCGUGAGUGACGGUAAUGGGUAAAGAAGCACCGGCUAACUACGUG